rnacentral:rRNA from 1 species
AGCGAACGCUGGCGGCAGGCUUAACACAUGCAAGUCGAACGCCCCGCAAGGGGAGUGGCAGACGGGUGAGUAACACGUGGGAACGUACCCUUUGGUUCGGAAUAACUUGGGGAAACUCAAGCUAAUACCGGAUAAGCCCUUAUGGGGAAAGGUUUACUGCCGAAGGAUCGGCCCGCGUCUGAUUAGCUAGUUGGUGAGGUAACGGCGCACCAAGGCGACGAUCAGUAGCUGGUCUGAGAGGAUGAUCAGCCACACUAGGACUGAGACACGGCCCAGACUCCUACGGGAGGCAGCAGUGGGGAAUAUUGGACAAUGGGGGCAACCCUGAUCCAGCCAUGCCGCGUGAGUGAUGAAGGCCUUAGGGUUGUAAAGCUCUUUUACCCGGGACGAUAAUGACUGUGCCGGGAGAAUAAGCCCCGGCUAACUUCGUGCCAGCCGCCGCCGUAA